CAGCCGCCACGGGAAUACGGAGGGAGCUAGCGUUGUUCGGAAUUACUGGGCGUAAAGCGCGCGUAGGCGGUUACUCAAGUCAGAGGUGAAAGCCCGGGGCUCAACCCCGGAACUGCCUUUGAAACUAGGUGACUAGAAUCUUGGAGAGGUCAGUGGAAUUCCGAGUGUAGAGGUGAAAUUCGUAGAUAUUCGGAAGAACACCAGUGGCGAAGGCGACUGACUGGACAAGUAUUGACGCUGAGGUGCGAAAGCGUGGGGAGCAAACAGGAUUAGAUACCCGAGUAGUCCCUGUCUCUUAUAC
rnacentral:rRNA from 1 species